rnacentral:misc_RNA from 1 species
UGUGGGAGCUGGCUUGCCUGCGAUAGCGGUGUAUCAGUUGACACAUCAGUGGCUGAAACACCGCUAUCGCAGGCAAGCCAGCUCCCACA